rnacentral:rRNA from 1 species
GAGUUUGAUCGUGGCUCAGAUUGAACGCUGGCGGCAGGCCUAACACAUGCAAGUCGAGCGGAUGACGGGAGCUUGCUCCUUGAUUCAGCGGCGGACGGGUGAGUAAUGCCUAGGAAUCUGCCUGGUAGUGGGGGACAACGUUUCGAAAGGAACGCUAAUACCGCAUACGUCCUACGGGAGAAAGCAGGGGACCUUCGGGCCUUGCGCUAUCAGAUGGGCCUAGGUCGGAUUAGCUAGUUGGUGGGGUAAUGGCUCACCAAGGCGACGAUCCGUAACUGGUCUGAGAGGAUGAUCAGUCACACUGGAACUGAGACACGGUCCAGACUCCUACGGGAGGCAGCAGUGGGGAAUAUUGGACAAUGGGCGAAAGCCUGAUCCAGCCAUGCCGCGUGUGUGAAGAAGGUCUUCGGAUUGUAAAGCACUUUAAGUUGGGAGGAAGGGCAGUAAGUUAAUACCUUGCUGUUUUGACGUUACCGACAGAAUAAGCACCGGCUAA